GAGGCUGGCCAAAGUAGGGGUGUGGUGUUUGAACGACAUCGCGCGUGCAAGAGUUGAGUGGGGGUGGUACGGCGGUGGAGUGGGCGUACGAGUGGCCGGCGGCCUCGGUGCCGGAGGAGGGCGCGCGAGCGGCCGGCGGCCUCGACCGCGGAGGAGGGCGCACGAGCAGCCUGUGGCCUUGGCAACGGAGGAGGGCGCGCGAGCGGCUUGCGGGCUCGGCGGCGGAGGAGGACGCGAGAGCGGCCUGUGGGCUCGGCGGCGGAGCGCGCGCACCAGCGGCCGGUAGCCCGCGAGGAUAGGGUAGCGGCCAAGGACGGCGGCGACGGUCCAGGGGUCGGCGGUCUAGGGCGAUGGCGUUGGUCCCGGGGUUGGCGGCCAAGGACGGCGGCGACGGUCCAGGGGUCGGUGGUCUAGGGCGACGGCGUUGGCCCCGGUGUUGGCGGCCAAGAUCGGCGGCGACUACCACCUUCCCGGCGGCUACGUCCUGUGGAGGGCCGCGGCGCAUAGACCACUGUACUGGAAGAGACAGGAGACUUUUAACGUCCGCAGUCUCCCAUACCCAUGGAGACCCUCGGCGAGAUCACCCAGCCCUACCAGUGGUCAUUCAGAUGGGAGUAGGAGAACCUGAAGCAAACAAGGAAGGAAACAGUACACUCUUAACCUAGCUCUAUAGAGUAACGUUGGACUUGAAAGAAAGCCACGAACAACCCCUCUGAUGGUUAAAACACCAAAUAUACAAACGCGGUCGGCAGGAGCAGCGCGGCGAGCCGCGUGAGUCGUAGUAACAGUCACAACAAGAUCGCGUAAAGUACGACUUACUCUUCAACGUCGCCCACCCGCAAGACCCAACACAAGAGAUGUAACAACCCAGCUGCCACUAGUAGGAGGUGCGAGGGCUCCUCUCCAGGGGCUGGAGCCACCUCGCCUAAACCGCGGACCGUUAUGUUGGAUGGAUCAUUCGUCUACCCCCGUGGUCGUUGCCUGAUCGCCGCUGGCCCGUAAGAGAGUAGGUCUACGGGUACCUGCACACAGGAGUUACGGUACUCGAUCGGGGCGAGUUGGACAGAGGUCCUGCUUCUGCUCAGGUGCCACGAUGGGUCGUCCUUCCUACUGUUCUUUCAACGUUUUUUACGAUCACGUCGACUAACCGAGGAAACACAACACUACAUGAUACAACACAUCUAAAAAAACUUCAAGUACAACACUUGGGUUGAUUCAAACUCGUGUCUUCAAAUCUAGCACCGACGAAAGUUAAAAGAGGACAUCGUCUUUAGAGCGAAGGGAGGACAAUAUGAUACAGGUGGUUACACAACAAACAAUUACGAAAAACAGACUUCAAGUCAUCAUAUACACCCACGUUUUUUUAACCACAACACUAUGUAAC
rnacentral:rRNA from 1 species